rnacentral:rRNA from 1 species
GUUCUCCCCGAAAGCUAUUUAGGUAGCGCCUCGUGAACUCAUCUUCGGGGGUAGAGCACUGUUUCGGCUAGGGGGUCAUCCCGACUUACCAACCCGAUGCAAACUACGAAUACCGAAGAAUGUUAUCACGGGAGACACACGGCGGGUGCUAACGUCCGUCGUGAAGAGGGAAACAACCCAGACCGCCAGCUAAGGUCCCAAAGUCAUGGUUAAGUGGGAAACGAUGUGGGAAGGCACAGACAGCCAGGAUGUUGGCUUAGAAGCAGCCAUCAUUUAAAGAAAGCGUAAUAGCUCACUGGUCGAGUCGGCCUGCGCGGAAGAUGUAACGGGGCUAAACCAUGCACCGAAGCUGCGGCAGCGACACUAUGUGUUGUUGGGUAGGGGAGCGUUCUGUAAGCCUGCGAAGGUGUGCUGUGAGGCAUGCUGGAGGUAUCAGAAGUGCGAAUGCUGACAUAAGUAACGAUAAAGCGGGUGAAAAGCCCGCUCGCCGGAAGACCAAGGGUUCCUGUCCAACGUUAAUCGGGGCAGGGUGAGUCGACCCCUAAGGCGAGGCCGAAAGGCGUAGUCGAUGGGAAACAGGUUAAUAUUCCUGUACUUGGUGUUACUGCGAAGGGGGGACGGAGAAGGCUAUGUUAGCCGGGCGACGGUUGUCCCG